GGGGUCUCGCUGUCGCGAUCUCGGCUCACUGCAACCUUCGACUCCUGGGUUCAAGUGAUUCUUCUGCCUCAGCCUCCUGAGUAGCUGGGAUUACGGACGUACACCACCAUGCCUGGCUAAUUUUUGUAUGUUAGUAGAGAUGGGGUUUUAUCAUGUUGGCCAGGCUGAUCUCAAACUCCUGGCCUCAGGUGAUCCACCCACUUCGGCCUCCCAAAGUGCUGGGACUACAGGUGUGAGUCACUGUGACCAGCCCAUAGAGGAAACUGUGCAAAGUUAUGUGCGUGAAAAACCUUCAGGAUGGAGAGAAUCAGCUGCCUACCUUGAACUACCUUGAAUAAGGCUGCCUUUGCUCUAAGAAAACCUGAAAAGUCUUCAACUAAAAGCUGAAAAGUCUUCAACUAUUACGUGAGGAUCUGCAGUUGGGGUCUAUGCUGUAGUGACUCAAGAUCACUGAUAGAACUUAAAGUCUAAUUUUUUUUUCAGUUAGGUGCAUCCCGAUACAGAAAUAGUGAAGAGUAUUUUAGCUAGGACCCAAAAUUGCCAAGGUUCUUGGAACUUCACAAAGGUCAAAGCUUGAACUGUGUCUGAAGAGGGUAUCAGAAUGUAUCUUUAUUCAGUACCAUAGACUAAGAAAGAAAAACAACUUUAUUUGUACGUUAUAUGAGGAAUCCUCCUCAUGAUCUCACAUUUGUUAUCUUAGUUCCGUUUCCUCAACAAUGCUGUGACCCAGUGUGGAUUCCCAUGGAUCUUAUUGAAAAUGCUUAUUAAAACUGCUACUUGACAGAAACUUUA